UUAUUGAACAGUCUUUAUUUGUGUGGUAUUCACAAUCCACACAGUCUAUGCUUGUAGUAUUCAUAAUCAAAUGUCUACCUUCCCCUUCAGUAAGUCUCUUAACAAUUGAUACAAAGUUCUUUUAAGGUCAUAAAGUGUUUCUAUUUAGAAAUGUUUGAUCUUACAGAUUUCUAAAUCAAUGCAACACAUAUGAAAUAGACUGAGUACUAGCCAUCACCUAGGAUUCAGAAUAAUUAAUGGACAGUCAUCAGCCAGUGGAUCAAAUAGCAAGCAGUCAUGUAACACCUAUAAAACAGAAUGCAAGCUUAUGCAGAUUGAAACACGGAAGGUAGAGCAUUUACAUGACGGGAAUGUUUCCUGGGCAAAGAGUGACUCCAAGGAAGUGACUUCAUUUUCCUCAAGAAAUGUAGGUAUCACGAUAAACCAUUUAUUUCGCAUGAGUUGCUAAAAAUGUAUAUGGAUGUGAAAAUGGCAGUGAUGUAAACGUCAUGAUAUGGGGUGGGUAAGCUGUAUGUGAAACCCCUUUAAUGAAGCUGUUAAUAGCAGGUAACUCGACAUGUUCACUUGCUGGUUGGAGCGGCAGGCAGGAGGCGAGCGCCGGCCUCGCGCUCUGGAGCAGAGGGCCGUGCCGGUGCACAGGGGGCAGCCGGGGAGGAGCAGGGAUGGCGUUUCGUUCCACUGGUUGUGAAUGCAGUCCUGCAGCCUUGCUAAUACCAGUCAUCAGUUCUCCUUGGAAGCCUGUGACCCCGCAGCGGGUGGCACUGUGCAGCAGCACCCCGGAGCUCAGCUGUACCGAGGCCAUCUUCACCAGCUCCCUUCCUGCUGUGUCCCAUUCCGUCCUCCUCGGCCUGCUGCCCUCACCCAAGGUACCGGCACCUACGAAGAAGCCUGUGUCACACAACAGCGUAACGCGCCUCAGCAGAUAAAAUGGCUGCAGGUGUUAUGUGGAUCCAGGCCACCAAAGUGGAAAAGGUUUGCACAAGAGCUGUGGGCGCAGUGGGGCCAAAGCAACAUCCCCGCCGCG
rnacentral:lncRNA from 1 species